GCCGGGCGUGGUGGCUCACGCCUGUAAACCCAGCACUUUGGGAGGCUGAGGUGGGGGGAUCACCUGAGGUCAGGAGUUCAAGACCAGCCUGGCCAAUAUGGUGAAACCCCAUCUCUA
rnacentral:SRP_RNA from 2 species